rnacentral:rRNA from 1 species
CCUUUACCCGGGUUUUUAAAAUUUUUUUGGUAACCCUAAGGAGAUUUGGGGGUUUCCCUUUGGGGGGAGGAAAUUACCGGGGGGGUCCAAGGGUGUUGUUCAAGCUCGGGUUCGUGAAAUUGUUGGGUAAAGUCCCGAAACGAGCGAACCCCUUAUUUUCAGUUUGCCAGCAUUAAGUUGGGCACUCUGGCAAGACUGCCGGUGACAAACCGGAGGAAGGUGGGGAUGACGUCAAAUCAUCAUGCCCCUUAUGACCUGGGCUACACACGUGCUACAAUGGACGGUACAACGAGUCGCGAAACCGCGAGGUCAAGCUAAUCUCUUAAAGCCGUUCUCAGUUCGGAUUGUAGGCUGCAACUCGCCUACAUGAAGUUGGAAUCGCUAGUUAAUCGGGAAUCAGCAUGCCAC